GCCCAGACCACCAGCUAAGGUCCCAAAAUAUAUGUUAAGUGGAAAAGGAUGUGGCGUUGCCCAGACAACUAGGAUGUUGGCUUAGAAGCAGCCAUCAUUUAAAGAGUGCGUAAUAGCUCACUAGUCGAGUGACACUGCGCCGAAAAUGUACCGGGGCUAAACAUAUUACCGAAGCUGUGGAUUGUCCUUUGGACAAUGGUAGGAGAGCGUUCUAAGGGCGUUGAAGCAUGAUCGUAAGGACAUGUGGAGCGCUUAGAAGUGAGAAUGCCGGUGUGAGUAGCGAAAGACGGGUGAGAAUCCCGUCCACCGAUUGACUAAGGUUUCCAGAGGAAGGCUCGUCCGCUCUGGGUUAGUCGGGUCCUAAGCUGAGGCCGACAGGCGUAGGCGAUGGAUAACAGGUUGAUAUUCCUGUACCACCUAUAAUCGUUUUAAUCGAUGGGGGGAC
rnacentral:rRNA from 1 species